ensembl:lncRNA
GGAAACGGCCCAGUUGCUCAGCCUCUCUGGGUCUAUUCCUUAUCUGUAAAAUGGAGAUGAUAAUAGUGCCUGCCUCAGAUGGUUCCUCGAGGAUGAAAUGAGUUAAUAUACAUAAAGUGCUUACAACAGGCUCACGGAAAGGUCGACUUCUCAGCACAUCUGCGUCCUCCAAACUCUAAGUCUAAGAGAAGGAGAAAAGGCGACCUGGCAAAGACGGAAACAUCCUUGAGUCAGAAGCCCUUCUUGUGAAAGCUGCCAGGAUGUAUUCAGUGGCCCCUGCGUCCUUCCAGUGAACCAGUUUCUGAGUAGGAGAUGAUGACAGUCCUUUCCUAGCCCUUUGCAGGUUGGUGUGAUUGCUCCGCAGAGAAGAGGACCUGGCAGGCUUUCGGGCCCCUGAAGGUAUUGAAACUUCAGUGCCAAUAAAUGGACGUGGAAAAGCAGCCCUGGGGAACCAGAAGAGUUGAGCACAAAGCUUGGACCUUGGCUGAGCAAACAACCUCAAGAGGCACUAUGGCAACCUUGGCUUCCAUCAGAUUGUUCUUCCAAGAGAGUGGAUGUGGAUGCCCAAUGCCUUGUUGUAGCUCCUUUGAGUACGAGGUGAUUCCAAAGAAUCAUUUGCUGUUUGACCCAAAGGAACAUGACUGCCAGAGGGAAGAAAGGCAAUUGAGCUGAGAAGAGCAGUAUUUAAAGACCAAGGUCGUCGAUUUGGAAUUGGGCAGCCAAUUCUGUGUUUACCUGGUAGUAACACUCCUGCACAUGCAACAGUGUCAGGAAGUGAGUAUUGCUACAAGCAGAACACUGGGUGGAGGAACGUAUUAUCAAUCCUAUAAUAGAUAAAAGAACAACAAUCCUGAACCCUCACAUUCAUUUUUUGGCUUUCCUGAGAGAACUAAGAAUUGUGGGUAACCUUGAGGAAGGAAGGAAACAAGCUUUGCUGAAGCUGGGCUCGUUUUCAGCUGUCAGUGGAAAAACACAAGUCUGCACCAGUCUCCGCUGAAAGUCUCAAGCUCGGCCAGUAGUUGUUUUCCAGCUUCUUGUUACCUUUGAAAUCGAAACAUUUUCGAUUUCUUCCUUUCUGCUGUGCCAGCGUGACGGAGCUAAGUGAGAGAGUUUGCCCCAUGAAGGUGCCGCAAUUAUGCACUGUGUCACCACCGGACAUGCAGCUGGCGAAUGUGCAGGGCGCCUGCAGCCGAGGGACCCGAGUGUGCUUUUGAAAACGUGAUCAUAGCCACUUUCAGUUCGUCUUGCCUUAAAUCAGUGGAGAAAAAGAGGCAGCUGAUACUCCGCUUGUAAGGGACAGUAACACCAUAAUAAAUCACUUUUUUUUCUGUGCCAGUUUUCUACCUUGCCCUAAUUUCCUAGAUGAAAUCACAUGUGUAAAACUGACUUUGCAAUUUAGCUCUGAAGUCCAGAAAGGCUACCCAGGGAGCACCGUGCCUUUUUUUAUACUUAUUCCCUGAUAUGUUAAAUCACCUAGAAAGCUGAAGGAAAAAGCUCCCCGGCCUGCGCAAGUGCAAAGAGGGUGCCUCUGAAGGAUAGCCCACCAUUCUAAAGCUGAAAGAAAGUGGAAGGCCUAGGAGUAAUAAUAAUAACAAGUAUUAUCUUUCUGUUUUUAACCUCAGAUGCAGUGAGUUGAUUAAUUACACUCCUCCGCUCACGGCACAUUUUUAUUGUUACUCCUUCCAAUUCCUACUUUUGUUUCGUAUAUUUAUUUAGAUUCCAUUCCAGCUUAUGGACUUACCCCCCCCUCCAGCCACUACCCCAUAGGUAACCGUUCCAGUAUGUUUAAUGUACAUGUAUUUAUUUGUAUGUGUUCUUACAAAUUGUGUAAGCCUAUAUUAUCAAUUUACAUAAUGGUACUGUGUUGCAUAUCUUUCCCUUUCCUUUUUUACUCAGGUCGGUUUUUAAGAUCCAACUUUGUUGCUGUGUGUAUAUUGAGUCUAUUGAUUCUAAUUGCCGCAGAA